AGAGUUUGAUCCUGGCUCAGAGUGGACGCUGGCGGCGUGCUUAGCACAUGCAAGUCGAACGAGAACGGUCCUAGCUUGCUAGGAUGUCAGCUAAGUGGCGGACGGGUGAGUAAUGUAUAGUUAAUUUGCCCCUUAGAGAGGGAUAACAGUUGGAAACGACUGCUAAUACCUCAUACUCCUUCUACCUUAAUGGUAGUUGGGAAAUGUUUUUUCGCUAAGGGAUAAGACUAUAUGGUAUCAGGUAGUUGGUGGGGUAAGAGCCCACCAAGCCAAUGACGCCUAGCUGGUCUGGGAGGAUGAUCAGCCACACUGGAACUGAGACACGGUCCAGACUCCUACGGGAGGCAGCAGUGGGGAAUAUUGCACAAUGGAGGAAACUCUGAUGCAGCAACGCCGCGUGGAGGAUGACACAUUUCGGUGCGUAAACUCCUUUUAUAUGGGAAGAUAAUGACGGUACCAUAUGAAUAAGCACCGGCUAACUCCGUGCCAGCAGCCGCGGUAAU
rnacentral:rRNA from 1 species